rnacentral:rRNA from 1 species
UACGUAGGGGGCAAGCGUUAUCCGGAUUUACUGGGUGUAAAGGGAGCGUAGACGGCAUGGCAAGUCAGAUGUGAAAGCCCGGGGCUCAACCCCGGGACUGCAUUUGAAACUGUCAGGCUGGAGUGCAGGAGAGGUAAGCGGAAUUCCUAGUGUAGCGGUGAAAUGCGUAGAUAUUAGGAGGAACACCAGUGGCGAAGGCGGCUUACUGGACUGUAACUGACGUUGAGGCUCGAAGGCGUGGGGAGCAAACAGG